rnacentral:lncRNA from 1 species
UGGCCAUCGGAUUGCAUUUGGAUGCACAAGAUUAGUCCAAAAAAAAUCAAAGAUCAGGCCUUAUCUCAAUCAAAAUCAUUGUCAGCCAUCGGAUCAUUGACAGGAUUGAUUCUGGACAGUCGAUCAGUGCACCAGAUCUCUUAUUCAUAGUCAGAUUCAAAGUCAGCCAUCAGAUCAUUCAUCAGAUCGAAUUUUGGCCGUU